UACGAAGGGGGCUAGCGUUGCUCGGAAUCACUGGGCGUAAAGGGUGCGUGGGCGGGUCUUUAAGUCAGGGGUGAAAUCCUGGAGCUCAACUCCAGAACUGCCUUUGAUACUGGAGAGCUUGAGUCCGGAAGAGGUGAGUGGAACUCCGAGUGUAGAGGUGAAAUUCGUAGAUAUUCGGAAGAACACCAGUGGCGAAGGCGGCUCACUGGUCCCGGUACUGACGCUGAGGUGCGAAAGCGUGGGGAGCAAACAGGG
rnacentral:rRNA from 1 species